UACGGAGGAUGCGAGCGUUAUCCGGAUUUAUUGGGUUUAAAGGGUGCGUAGGUGGCUUGUUAAGUCAGCGGUGAAAUGUUUAAGCUCAACUUAGACACUGCCGUUGAAACUGGCGAGCUUGAGUGCAAAGGAGGUAGGCGGAAUUCGUGGUGUAGCGGUGAAAUGCAUAGAUAUCACGAGGAACUCCGAUUGCGUAGGCAGCUUACUAUCAUGCAACUGACACUGAAGCACGAAAGCGUGGGUAUCAAACAGGAUUAGAUACCCUGGUAGUCCACGCAGUAAACGAUGAUAACUGGGCGUAUGCGAUAUACCGUAUGCUCCUAAGCGAAAGCGUUAAGUUAUCCACCUGGGGAGUACGCCGGCAACGGUG
rnacentral:rRNA from 1 species